UACGAAGGGGGCUAGCGUUGCUCGGAAUCACUGGGCGUAAAGGGUGCGUAGGCGGGUCUUUAAGUCAGGGGGGAAAUCCUGGAGCUCAACUCCAGAACUGCCUUUGAUACUGAAGAUCUUGAGUCCGGGAGAGGUGAGUGGAACUGCGAGUGUAGAGGUGAAAUUCGUAGAUAUUCGCAAGAACACCAGUGGCGAAGGCGGCUCACUGGCCGAUACUGACGCUGAGGCACGAAAGCGUGGGGAGCAAACAGG
rnacentral:rRNA from 1 species